rnacentral:rRNA from 1 species
UCAAGCUACUAAGGGCCCACGGUGGAUGCCUUGGCACCAGGAGGCGAUGAAGGGCGUGGUCAACUGCGAUAAACUUCGGGGAGGCGUAAACAGCCGAAGAUCCGGAGGUUCCCGAAUGGGGCAACCCCACCGUCUAGGUGCAUCUGGCGAACCGGGGGAAGUGAACCAUCUCAGUACCCCGAGGAAAAGAAAGCGAAUGCGAUUCCCUGAGUAGUGGCGAGCGAAAGGGGAACAGCCUAAACCGUCCGCCUGGCGCGGGCGGGGUUGCGGGGCUUCGUCGGGCAUCUGCCGGGAAGUUACCAAUCCGACCUCUAGCCGAAGCUGUCUGGAAAGCAGCGCCAGAGAGGGUGACAGCCCCGUAGGCGAAAGGGGAUCGGACUUCCUGGACGAAGUACCCAAGUACGGCGGGAGAAGCAAGACUGCCGGAAUCUGGGCGAACCACCGUCCAAGGCUAAAUACUCCCUGGUGACCGAUAGUGAACCAGUACCGUGAGGGAAAGGUGAAAAGCACUCCGGUGAGGAGAGUGAAAAGAACCUGAAACCGUGGGUCUACAAGGUGUGGAAGCGCUACCUGGGUCUCCCAGACGCGCGACCGCGUGCCUUUUGCAGAAUGAGCCGGUGAGUUACGCUCCGUGGCGAGGUUAAGCGUCUCUGACGCGAAGCCGUAGCGAAAGCGAGUCUGAAGAGGGCGUGUUGUCGCGGGGCGUAGACCCGAAACCGGGUGAUCUAUCCAUGGCCAGGGUGAAGCGUACCUAACCGUACGUGGAGGCCCGAACCCACUAGGGCUGAAAACCUAGGGGAUGAGCUGUGGAUAGCAGUGAAAAGCUAAUCGAACCCGGUGAUAGCUGGUUCUCCCCGAAAUAGCUUGAGGGCUAGCCUCGCGUGAUAGCCGUCGGAGGUAGAGCACUGGUUGGACUAGGGGGCCCACCAGCCUACCAACUCCAGCCAAACUCCGAAUGCCGGCGGCCGUAUCGCGGGAGUCAGACUGCGGGGGAUAAGCUCCGUGGUCAAAAGGGAAACAGCCCAGAUCGCCAGCUAAGGCCCCUCAAUCCGCGCUAAGUGGGAAAGGAUGUGAGGUCGCGAAGACAACCAGGAGGUUGGAAUAGAAGUCGUCAUCCUUGAAAGAGUGUGUAACAACUCACUGGUCGAGUGACCUUGCGCCGAAAAUUCUCGGGGCUCAAGCGCGGUGCCGAAGCUGCGGGUGGUGUGCCUUCGAGCACGCCGCGGUAGGGGAGCGUUCUGCACCGGCUGAAGGCGGACCGAAAGGGCCGCUGGACGGUGCAGAAGUGAUGAUGCCGGCAUGAGUAGCGAUAAAGCAGGUGAGAAGCCUGCUCGCCGGAAGCCUAAGGGUUCUCAUGCAAGGCAACUCCGCAUGAGGUUAGUCGGGUCCUAAGCCGAGGCCGAAAGGCGUAGGCGAUGGGAACACGGUCAACAUUCCGUGACCAGCUCGGGAGGUUGAAGGAGCGGGGACGCAGGCCCGUAGCCCACAGAUGUUAUCGGAUUCGGAGGCCGAGCCUUCGGGCAAAGCCGCGUGGGUCAAGGGACUGCCAAGAAAAGCCGUCUCCGGACGAACGAGCUGCCCGUACCCCAAACCGACACAGGUAGGCGAGGAGAGUAUCCUCAGGCGCUCGAGAGAACUCCCGUCAAGGAACUCGGCAAAAUGACCCCGUAACUUCGGGAGAAGGGGUGCCACCUUCGGGUGGCCGCAGAGAAAUGGCCCUGGCGACUGUUUACUAAAAACACAGGUCUCUGCUAAGUCGUAAGACGACGUAUAGGGACUGACGCCUGCCCAGUGCCGGAAUGUUAAGGGGAGGGGUUAGCCCUUCGGGGCGAAGCCCCAAACCGAAGCACCGGUAAACGGCGGCGGUAACUAUAACCGUCCUAAGGUAGCGAAAUUCCUCGUCGGGUAAAAUCCGACCUGCACGAAAGGCGUAACGACUGGGGCACUGUCUCGACGGGAGGCUCGGCGAAAUUGUAGUGCCGGUGAAGAUGCCGGCUACCCGCAGCAGGACGGAAAGACCCCGUGAAGCUUCACUGCAGCCUGACAUUGGGUCUUGGCAUCACCUGUGCAGGAUAGGUGGGAGGCUGAGAACCCAGGGCGCCAGCUCUGGGGGAGCCGCCGGUGAGAUACCACCCUGGUGAUGCUGGGGCUCUAACCGACCCAAGUCAGCCUUGGGCGGGACCGUGUCAGGUGGGUAGUUUGACUGGGGCGGUCGCCUCCUAAAAGGUAACGGAGGCGCCCAAAGGUUCCCUCAGCACGGUUGGAAACCGUGUGGCGAGUGCAAAGGCAUAAGGGAGCCUGACUGCGAGACCUACAAGUCAAGCAGGCGCGAAAGCGGGGCUUAGUGAUCUUACGGUACCGAGUGGAAGGGCCGUGACUAAUCGGAUAAAAGUUACUCCGGGGAUAACAGGCUGAUCGCGUCCGAGCGUACACAGCGACGACGCGGUUUGGCACCUCGAUGUCGGCUCAUCGCAUCCUGGGGCUGCAGGAGGUCCCAAGGGUUGGGCUGCUCGCCCAUUAAAGCGGUACGUGAGCUGGGUUUAGAACGUCGCGAGACAGUUUGGUCCCUAUCCGCUGCGGGCGUAGGAGGACUGAGGGGAGCUGCCCCUAGUAUGAGAAGACCGGGGUGGACGGACCUCUGGUGUACCAGUUGUCGCGCCAGCGGCACCGCUGGGUAGCUAUGUCCGGACGGGAUAAACGCUGAAAGCAUCUAAGCGUGAAGCCCACCCCAAGAUAAGUCCUCCCACCGGGAUAACCGGGUAAGGCCCCUCGGAGACGACGAGGUCGAUAGGUCGGAGGUGUAAGCGCAGCAAUGCGUUGAGCUGACCGAUACUAAUGGCCGAGGGCUUGAC